CAUCGCUCCUCCUUCCUGCUGGCGCCGCUGACGAUGACGUAGUCGCAGGCGGCCGGAUCCGUCUGCAUCUCGAUGUGGUUGACGCACAGGUGGCAUUUCAUACGGAACCUGCCAAGAAGCCGGAUUGAAAUUUUCGAAAAAAUUGCGGCCCGCACCGCCCGCACUCCUCGUUCGCCCUCACCUGUAUAUUGGCGUGGUGAAAUAGUUGCCCACUUUCUUCUUCUCCGCAUUGUACCGGACGCCUGAGCGACAAAAACGAUGAACUGUGAGAAUGACGAGAGGGUACAUAUUCGGGGG